rnacentral:rRNA from 1 species
GGCCUACCAUGGUGGUAACGGGUAACGGGGUGUUAGGGCACGACACCGGAGAGGGAGCCUGAGAAACGGCUACCACAUCCAAGGAUGGCAGCAGGCGCGCAAAUUACCCAAUCCCGACACGGGGAGGUAGUGACAAUAAAUAACAAUACGGGGUUCUUUAGGAUCUCGUAAUUGGAAUGAGUACAAUUUAAAUCUCUUAACGAGGAACAAUUGGAGGGCAAGUCUGGUGCCAGCAGCCGCGGUAAUUCCAGCUCCAAUAGCGUAUAUUAAAGUUGUUGCAGUUAAAAAGCUCGUAGUUGAAUUUCGGGGUUAGUAGGUUGGUCAUGCCUCUGGUAUGUACUGGUCUCACUGAUUCCUCCUUCCUGAUGAACCGUAAUGCCAUUAAUUUGGUGUUGCGGGGAAUUUGGACUGUUACUUUGAAAAAAUUAGAGUGUUUAAAGCAAGCUAACGCUUGAAUACAUUAGCAUGGAAUAAUGAAAUAGGACGUUCGAUCCUAUUUUGUUGGUUUCUAGGAUUGACGUAAUGAUUAAUAGGGAUAGUUGGGGGCAUUAGUAUUCAAUUGUCAGAGGUGAAAUUCUUGGAUUUAUUGAAGACUAACUACUGCGAAAGCAUUUGCCAAGGAUGUUUUCAUUAAUCAAGAACGAAAGUUAGGGGAUCGAAGCCGAUCAGAUACCGUCGUAGUCUUAACCAUAAACUAUGCCGACUAGGGAUCGGAUGAUGUUAAUUUUUUAAUGACUCAUUCGGCGCCUUAC